rnacentral:rRNA from 1 species
GAACGCAUCCUUCGGGAUGAGUGGCGCACGGGUGAGUAACACGUGGGAACGUACCUCGAAGUUCGGGAUAACUAUUGGAAACGAUAGCUAAUACCGAAUACGCCCCAAGGGGGAAAGAUUUAUCGCUUCGGGAUCGGCCCGCGUCCGAUUAGCUUGUUGGUGAGGUAAAGGCUCACCAAGGCUACGAUCGGUAGCUGGUCUGAGAGGAUGAUCAGCCACACUGGAACUGAGACACGGACCAG